ACGAACGCUGGCGGCGUGCUUAACACAUGCAAGUCGAACGGUGAACCAGGGCUUGCCCUGGGGAUUAGUGGCGAACGGGUGAGUAACACGUGGGCAACCUGCCCCAGACUCUGGGAUAACUUCGGGAAACCGAAGCUAAUACCGGAUACGACUUCUGAAGGCAUCUUCGGAAGUGGAAAGUUUUUCGGUCUGGGAUGGGCCCGCGGCCUAUCAGCUUGUUGGUGGGGUAAUGGCCUACCAAGGCGACGACGGGUAGCCGGCCUGAGAGGGCGACCGGCCACACUGGGACUGAGACACGGCCCAGACUCCUACGGGAGGCAGCAGUGGGGAAUAUUGCGCAAUGGGCGAAAGCCUGACGCAGCGACGCCGCGUGAGGGAUGAAGGCCUUCGGGUUGUAAACCUCUUUCAGCAGGGACGAAGCGAAAGUGACUGUACCUGCAGAAGAAGCACCGGCUAACUACGU
rnacentral:rRNA from 1 species